rnacentral:rRNA from 1 species
ACGGAAGGCAGCAGUGGGGAAUAUUGGGCAAUGGGCGAAAGCCUGACCUAGCAACGCCGCGUGAAGGAAGAAGGUCUUCGGAUUGUAAACUUCUUUUAUGAGGGACGAAGGACGUGACGGUACCUCAUGAAUAAGCCACGGCUAACUACGUGCCAGCAGCCGCGGUAAUACGUAGGUGGCAAGCGUUAUCCGGAUUUACUGGGUGUAAAGGGCGCGUAGGCGGGGGUGCAAGUCAGAUGUGAAAUCUAUGGGCUUAACUCAUAAACUGCAUUUGAAACUGUAUCUCUUGAGUGCUGGAGAGGUAGAUGGAAUUCCUUGUGUAGCGGUGAAAUGCGUAGAUAUAAGGAAGAACACCGGUGGCGAAGGCGGCUUUCUGGACUGUAACUGACACUGAGGCACGAAAGCGUGGGGAGCAAACAGGAUUAGAUACCCUGGUA